rnacentral:rRNA from 1 species
GACGAACGCUGGCGGCGUGCUUAACACAUGCAAGUCGAACGAGUGGCGAACGGGUGAGUACUACGGAAGUACCCUGCGCUCUUUAUGGGAUAAGCCGUGGAAACGGGGUGUAAUACCUGAUAACGGUGGAUGGGCUCGCGGCCUAUCAGCUCGGUGGUGGGUUGAGUGCCUACCAAGGCGGUGACGGGUCGCCGGCCUGAGAGGGUGGCCGGGGACAUGGGGACUGAGAGACUGCCCAGACUACUAAGGGGGGGAGCAGGUGGGGAUAUUGCAGAAUGGGGGAAAGCCUGAUGCAGCGACGCCGCGUGGGGGUUGAAGGCUUUAGGGUUGUAAACCUCUUGAGGAACAGAACGGGUAGGUGGAGAAGAAGCGCCGGCUAACUACGUGCCAGCAGCCGCGGUAAUAC